rnacentral:rRNA from 1 species
GAUCCUGGCUCAGGAUGAACGCUAGCUACAGGCUUAACACAUGCAAGUCGAGGGGCAGCAUUUUUAUAGCAAUAUAAAAGAUGGCGACCGGCGCACGGGUGAGUAACACGUAUCCAACCUGCCGAUAACUCGGGGAUAACCCUUCGAAAGAAGGCCUAAUACCCGAUGGCAUAUCCCUUCCGCCUGGUUGGGAUAUUAAAGAACUUCGGUUAUCGAUGGGGAUGCGUUCCAUCAGCUUGUUGGCGGGGUAACGG